rnacentral:tRNA from 2 species
GCUGGGGUGGCGAAAUUGGUAGACGCACUUGCCUUAGGAGCAAGCGGAGUAAUCCAUGGAGGUUCAAGUCCUCUCCCCAGCA